rnacentral:antisense_RNA from 1 species
GCUCAUGGCGGCUGUUCGCGGGAGGGGUCAACCCUGCCGGAGGUGAUGUGGUCCGGUCUUGCACACCUGCGAACAGCUGCCACCCAA